AGGCGUGUGUCCAGGUGACACGUCUGAACAUUGAUCGCUGUUGAUUCGGCAGAUCUGUCCAGAAAGUGUCCCGUUUCUCGCACACUUCUAUGAUAUGGGCGCUCCCGCUGCCUCGCCGCACGGUCGAGUACCUCCGAAAUUCAUAUCGUCCCACCUUACGGUUGGGUAAAAGGGUUUAUAAAAAUUCACUUGUAUAGUCAUAUGCAUCAACACCAAAAUAAUGAUAAUUAAUACCAUGCACACAUAUAUAUCAGAGUUGUCAGCAUUUUGAAAU
rnacentral:snRNA from 1 species